GAAAGAAAGGAAGACACGUAAGCAGAAAGAGUACAUCAUUUUUUUAAGUGCCACCUUUAAAACAUUUUGUUUAGGUUUUAUUUUUGCCGAAUAGAUAUUGUCGAAAGUGGGAGACCAAAUGCUAAGACAGUUUUCCUCUGUUCAGUUUCAAAGGCCUUGAGUCGCGGGAGAAGACCAUAGCACGUGGGUGUGUUUUCGUCUGUGUGUUAGUGUUUGGGCGUCGGUGUGUUUUUACAGUUUGCUCUAUAAAAAAUCGUGCACAAGUCAUGACCAUGAAUUUUGGACCUUUCUUGUAGAUGAGGGUACUGCUCUUUUUAUACGAUAUGAGGAAAGUAAAUGUUGACUGGUCCAGAAGUGCUUGCCAACGGACAGACCCGAGAAGUACGGAGAGUUUAUAGUCGACUUCCCCGCACUCUCUUCGACUGCGCCCCCGCCCCCACACCUGGUUUUGUGAAACAAGGGAAGAAGAAGGGAGCCCGUUGCUGCCCAAGUAUAGGAGAAGAUGAAUGUUCACUCAGCUUCUUGUGGUCAUCAUUUCAUGAUGCAUAUUCUUUUCCCAUAUAGGUUGUUAGAGAGUUCAGUGUGCUCCUUUUAAAACCACAUUUUUGACUUUCCAAACUUCUCCCCUGACUUAAACUGCAAAUGGACUCUGCUAGCAACAACCAGUAACUUGCACUUCCAUACUUUGCGUGUUGUGAUUCGAGAUGCAGUGGCAGGAUGCAUUAUACAUUGAUCUGCUUUUUGAUAAUCAACUUAAAUGGUGAUGAUGGGCUGCAAUGUAUUUGGGUUGGAGCAAAACGUUCAUCCUAAUGAAAUGUAACUUUAUGAAAGAAACGCUCCUAAUCCUCUCAAGGACCGAGCCAGAUCAUCACAGAUUCUGUUUCUUCAUUGGCUUUGGACCAUGGAAACUGGAGCGGGAAAUCAGAUGACUGUACUUGCAAUUCAAAGAGCAAACUGAAUAAUCCUCAGUGAUACUGAGGUGGAGAUGCCUCGCCUUAUGAGAAACCAUGGAUCUUGAGCUUCUAGUUCUAAAUAUCCUUCUGAGAUGUCUUUCGCUGUUACUUGGAAAUGAUGGAUAAAACAUGUCCAGUAUAAGGUUAAUUCUUACUUAGCUGUUACAAUAAAGGGGACAUUAAGUCCAAGUACUACCUGGAUCAGGCCAAGAGGGGCCUCUGCUCUGACCUUCCUGAAGCUGUACCUUCUCCACCUGCCAUGGCGUAAGGAUCCCAGAGAUUGUGCUGUCCAGAGCCUGCUUUCUUCUAGACCAUGCUCAGGUACACGUACCCUAGAAUUCUCUAACCGGAUGAUCUUGAGUUCUUUCUAGUGACUUCACAGGCUUCUUCUCAGGGCUCAGCCUCCUGAGAUGGACUGUCCCCCUGGGCUGUACACCUCUGGGUCCAACAUGGGGCCAGGGAGCAACGGCUUGUUAGUGGUUGUGAAUGGGGUUGGCUGUGCAGGUGGCAUCUUCACAUGCCUGGUUGUGAAACCUCUUGUGGUCCACGGCUGAGCUGGAGAUGGGAACAAAUGAGCCAGGGGUAGGCUGGCCUCCCUGCACCUCUGCAUUCCUGUGCAGCACUUCAAGGAGUCUGAGAAUUCCAAAUCUGAAUGUGGCCUUUCAGGUCGCUAUGAAUGUAUAUUUGCCAAGGCAGAGGAUAAAACAGAAGCUAUUUAACAGUUUGUUAGCUUGACCCACAACUUUAUAUAUACACAUAUAUAUUUCUUUUUAAUG